CUAGGGAUUUAUUUUCUCUUAGCCCACCCGUCCCGCUCAAUACCUCACUCUCAAGAGUCCCGCGCCGGCAUUCCUCCGCCGUACUCUCCGCCGUCCUCAACGUCGGUGCCUCCCGUCCUCCGCUCUGUAGCUCUAUAGUUCCUUAGCAAAACGUGCAGAUUUUUCUUACGCCAUUUUCUAAUGGCGUCAUCGAUGAAAUUCACAGAUUGCUCUCCUUGCGCCACUGUCCGUCUUGUUCCCUCUACUCGAACCAGGCUUCGAAACUCCGAUGGCGCUGGUCUCUUUCACCGUCUUCUUGGCCUUUCUCGCCCCGCUUUUCCUAGAACUUUCGUGUCUCGAUCUUCCACUUCAACUUUGCCCGUCAUCUCUGCUUCAAUUUCAACCGAGGCGACUGCGGAAGUGAUUGAUGGAAAACUGGUGGCGAAGCAGAUUAGAGAGGAGAUUACUGCCGAAGUAUCUCGAAUGAAGGGUGCCAUUGGUGUUGUUCCAGGCUUAGCAGUCAUCCUUGUUGGAGAUAGGAAGGAUUCUGCAACUUAUGUACGAAAUAAGAAAAAAGCUUGCGAAUCUGUGGGUAUUAAAUCUUUUGAAGUAAACUUACCUGAAGAUUGUUCCGAGCAAGAAGUACUCAAGUAUAUAUCCGACUUCAAUGAUGAUCCAUCUGUCCAUGGCAUCCUUGUUCAAUUACCAUUGCCUAAACAUAUGAAUGAACAGAAUAUAUUGCAUGCUGUUAGCAUUGAAAAAGAUGUAGAUGGAUUUCACCCACUAAACAUCGGUCGUCUUGCAAUGAGAGGUGAAGAACCAUUGUUUGUUCCAUGUACGCCUAAAGGGUGUAUUGAAUUGCUGCAUAGAUAUAACAUUAGUAUCAAAGGGAAGAGAGCUGUUGUAAUCGGUCGAAGCAAUAUUGUAGGAACCCCAGCUGCUCUUUUGCUUCAAGGAGAAGAUGCAACUGUUAGCGUCGUUCAUUCUCGGACCAAGGACCCCGAAGAGUUAACAAAACAAGCUGAUAUUAUCAUCUCUGCAGUUGGCAAAGCCAAUAUGGUUAAGGGCAGUUGGAUCAAGCCCGGAGCAGUUAUUAUUGACGUUGGAAUUAAUCCAGUAGAGGAUGCAAGUAGCCCUCGUGGAUAUCGUCUAGUAGGAGACGUUUGUUAUGAGGAGGCGAUCAAAAUUGCUUCAGCCAUUACUCCCGUACCCGGGGGAGUUGGGCCAAUGACGAUAGCGAUGCUGCUCUCCAACACACUUACAGCAGCAAAAAGAACACACAACUUCCAGUGAAACUUCGGAAGUUUAUUAUGAUUUUACAGAGAAAGCUUCCCUUAGCAAGGACUAAGCGGUGAAAUAACCCCAUGUGCAUUCUUGUUGGAAGGAGCGUGAAAUCCCAUGCCAACAUGAACUGCAAUAAGGAUCUUUGGUGAUGGCCAAUUUCUCACCAUCAAAGAGUGCAUAUGUCGGAAGAACAAUCGAACAAGCUCUUUUACGGAGAGACAGGACACCGUCCAUCCAUGAGUAGCUACUCAUCUAUCGCAAAAGACGACUCGAAUCAAAGAUUGAUCAUAUCAAACGAAAAAAGAAGAACGAAACGUGUAAAAUCGAGACGUACGGAAAGGGUGCCUUUGCAGUGGCUACAUUUGAAGCAAGACUUAUGGUAAGGAUUGCCUUCAAGGGAAAGCAACUCAACCACAUAAACAGUCUUAUCACAAGCCUUGCAUUUGUCCAAUGUUCCAGUGAAUGACAUCUUUAUUCCUUCUCGAUUUUUUGUCUACAACAACGACUCGAACCGAACCGGAGUGCGAUAGCUCCUCGAGAAACUGCAAACAAAAAAAAAAAAAUUGCAAGUUGUCUGAGGAUGAGAUCUCAGACAAGAUUAUGAAAAGAAGGUAAGUGAAAUGGGAUGGAUGAGAAAAGAGAAUGGGAAUUAGUGCUGUGGAUUUGUUGUGUUAAAAAAAUGUAAAUUUAAAUACAUCAGAUUAUGUUGGAAAGAGUGCUUUUUUUGUAUCGUAAAGCCAAAACUUUGUGGUUGCA